rnacentral:sRNA from 1 species
AUGUUACCUGUUUUGACCACCAUCUGUUAUCAAUUCUUCCAUUUUUUAAAAUUUAAUAAGUAGCUUGGUAAGGAUUAUAUGUGAAGGAAACAACCAGAUCUCCAAAGGAGUAAUUUUGAACACGUCUUCAAAAACUAAAUAAAAGUAUAACUACUCAUUCUUUGCUAAAAUUGAACUCGUCACUAAUGGCUGAGACCUGAUAGGCCGUUUUAAGAAAAUCAUCCUGAAACAUGGCUUAAACAUUUUCAAAAUGUGACUACCUAUGAAAGAUAUUUUGAAAUGCAGAUAGCUGAACUUUAAUAUAAUUUCUCUUGUCUUUUUGGAUCAAGAUUAAUUUGCGUUUCUUUGAAGUAACAUAACACCAGUAGCCAACCAUCAAUGUCUUGUUCUUUGCUUUCGAGAUUUUUCAUGGAUUUUGCCUUUAAGAACAAGGCUAUAUUUUCAAUAAUAUCAAGGUUACUUCUUUUGUAUAGAGAUGGAACUGAAAUAAACAGAUUUUGCAAAUGGUCUAAGAAGAAAACAAUUAUGAGUGAAUUUAAUGCAUGUAUUUCAAACAGUGUGACAUUAUACAUGUAAUUUACAAUCAAUGUCUGGGUUACAGAGACCAGUUUCAGAUGAUAACAACGAUAGACAAUCAUUAGAAUUGUCCAGAGUAGUGACAAUUUUGUUUUGUAAUAUUGUGUUAAAAUGAACUGAAUGAGUUGUACCUGGCUUCUAUGUGGAUGAGCUGACUUUGUUUUUACAUUUUUAUUUCAAUAUUAUGUGCUUUCUUUCUUGAAUCAGCACUGCUUUAUAGCAAUCGCACAUGGCAACUUAUGUAUGUUUGAUAUGCAAUUUUUACAAAUUUUUCAUUAAAUAUUAAAAUUUUAUGACAC